CUCAGGACGAACGCUGGCGGCGUGCCUAAUACAUGCAAGUCGAGCGGACAGAUGGGAGCUUGCUCCCUGAUGUUAGCGGCGGACGGGUGAGUAACACGUGGGUAACCUGCCUGUAAGACUGGGAUAACUCCGGGAAACCGGGGCUAAUACCGGAUGGUUGUUUGAACCGCAUGGUUCAAACAUAAAAGGUGGCUUCGGCUACCACUUACAGAUGGACCCGCGGCGCAUUAGCUAGUUGGUGAGGUAACGGCUCACCAAGGCAACGAUGCGUAGCCGACCUGAGAGGGUGAUCGGCCACACUGGGACUGAGACACGGCCCAGACUCCUACGGGAGGCAGCAGUAGGGAAUCUUCCGCAAUGGACGAAAGUCUGACGGAGCAACGCCGCGUGAGUGAUGAAGGUUUUCGGAUCGUAAAGCUCUGUUGUUAGGGAAGAACAAGUACCGUUCGAAUAGGGCGGUACCUUGACGGUACCUAACCAGAAAGCCACGGCUAACUACGUGCCAGCAGCCGCGGUAAUACGUAGGUGGCAAGCGUUGUCCGGAAUUAUUGGGCGUAAAGGGCUCGCAGGCGGUUUCUUAAGUCUGAUGUGAAAGCCCCCGGCUCAACCGGGGAGGGUCAUUGGAAACUGGGGAACUUGAGUGCAGAAGAGGAGAGUGGAAUUCCACGUGUAGCGGUGAAAUGCGUAGAGAUGUGGAGGAACACCAGUGGCGAAGGCGACUCUCUGGUCUGUAACUGACGCUGAGGAGCGAAAGCGUGGGGAGCGAACAGGAUUAGAUACCCUGGUAGUCCACGCCGUAAACGAUGAGUGCUAAGUGUUAGGGGGUUUCCGCCCCUUAGUGCUGCAGCUAACGCAUUAAGCACUCCGCCUGGGGAGUACGGUCGCAAGACUGAAACUCAAAGGAAUUGACGGGGGCCCGCACAAGCGGUGGAGCAUGUGGUUUAAUUCGAAGCAACGCGAAGAACCUUACCAGGUCUUGACAUCCUCUGACAAUCCUAGAGAUAGGACGUCCCCUUCGGGGGCAGAGUGACAGGUGGUGCAUGGUUGUCGUCAGCUCGUGUCGUGAGAUGUUGGGUUAAGUCCCGCAACGAGCGCAACCCUUGAUCUUAGUUGCCAGCAUUCAGUUGGGCACUCUAAGGUGACUGCCGGUGACAAACCGGAGGAAGGUGGGGAUGACGUCAAAUCAUCAUGCCCCUUAUGACCUGGGCUACACACGUGCUACAAUGGACAGAACAAAGGGCAGCGAAACCGCGAGGUUAAGCCAAUCCCACAAAUCUGUUCUCAGUUCGGAUCGCAGUCUGCAACUCGACUGCGUGAAGCUGGAAUCGCUAGUAAUCGCGGAUCACAUGCGCCGGGGGGAAAAAACUUUCCCGGGGCCUUGUACACACCGCCCGUCACACCACGGAGAGUUUGUAACACCCGAAGUCCGGUGAGGUAACCUUUUAGGAGCCAGCCGCCGAAGGUGGGACAGAUGAUUGGG
rnacentral:rRNA from 1 species